CGCAUCUGUGCAUGCAGCAUAUCAAUAAGCGGAGGAAAAGAAACUAACAAGGAUUCCCCUAGUAACGGCGAGUGAAGCGGGAAGAGCUCAAAUUUGAAAUCUUAAAGGGUUUCCCUUUACGAAUUGUAGUUUAAAGAAGUGUUUUCUGUUGAGGUUUUGGUAAAAGUUCUUUGGAAUAGGACAUCAUAGAGGGUGAGAAUCCCGUAUUUGACCUUUACUUUCAACUUUGUGAUACACUUUCAAAGAGUCGGAUUGUUUGGGAAUGCAGUCCAAAAUGGGUGGUAAAUUUCAUCUAAAGCUAAAUAUUGGCGAGAGACCGAUAGCGAACAAGUACCGUGAGGGAAAGAUGAAAAGAACUUUGAAAAGAGAGUUAAACAGUACGUGAAAUUGUCAAAAGGGAAGCGUUUGACACCAGUGUUGUUUUUCUGAAAAUCAAUUAAAGAACUGUUUAUGCUAAGUUGUUUAGACUUUAUCAGCUAUCUGUUUAGUUUUGAGCUUUUCUUUAAUGCACUUUUCAGUUAACAAGUCAACAUCAAUUUCUUUCGCUGUAAAAAAGCUUGAGGAAGGUGGCUUGAGAUUCGUCUUAAGUGUUUAUAGCCUCUUGCCUAUGCAGUCGGAGAGAUUGAGGUCUGCAGCGUAGAUCCUUCGGGGCUAAAUGCAUUUGUGCUAAGUUAUAGCAUUUUAUAGACAACUUGUUGACUAUGAUUUGUCUUGUAGCUUACUCGCUUAUGUUAUUUUACCUACGCUUAGGAUGUUGAAUCUGUGCGAGACUAC
rnacentral:rRNA from 1 species